rnacentral:rRNA from 1 species
CCUACGGGAGGCAGCAGUGGGGGAUAUUGCACAAUGGGGGAAACCCUGAUGCAGCGACGCCGCGUGUGGGAAGACGGUCUUCUGGAUUGUAAACCACUGUCCCCAGGGACGAAAAUGACGGUACCUGGGGAGGAAGCUCCGGCUACUACGUGCCAGCAGCAGCGGUAAUACGUAGGGAGCAAGCGUUGUCCGGAAUUACUGGGUGUAAGGCGAGCGUAGGCGGGGUUGAAAGUUGGGUGUCAAAACUACCGGCUCAACCGAUAGUCGCACUCGAAACUGCAGCUCUUGAGUGAAGUAGAGGCAGGCGGAAUGCCUAGUGUAGCGGUGAAAUGCGUAGAUAUUAGGAGGAACACUAGUGGCGAAGGCGGCCUGCUGAGCUUUUACUGACGCUGAGGCUCGAAAGUGUGGGGAGCAAACAGGAUUAGAUACCCGAGUAGUC